rnacentral:rRNA from 1 species
AAGAAACUAACCAGGAUUCCCUAGUAACGGCGAGUGAAGCGGGAAAGCUCAAWUUUGUAAUCUGGCGCCUUUUGGCGUCCGAGUUGUAWUCUCGAGAAGUAUUUUCCGCGCUGGACCGCACAUAAGUCUGUUGGAAUACAGCGUCMUAGUGGGUGAGAACCCCGUAUAGGGUGCGGAUGCCCAGUGCUUUGUGAUCUACUUUCGAAGAGUCGAGUUGUUUGGGAAUGCAGCUCAAAUUGGGUGGUAAAUUCCAUCUAAAGCUAAAUAUUGGCGAGAGACCGAUAGCGAACAAGUACCGUGAGGGAAAGAUGAAAAGCACUUUGGAAAGAGAGUUAACAGUACGUGAAAUUGUUGGAAGGGAAACGCUUGAAGUCAGACUUGCAUUUUGGAGUUCAGCCGCAAGGUGUAUUCUUCAAUUCGCAGGCCAGCAUCAGUUUUUGGGGGUGGAAAAGCGUGGUUUGAAGGUAGCAGCUUCGGCUGUGUUAUAGCUUUCCACUGGAUUCACUUUUGGGGACUGAGGAACGCAGUACGCUUUUUGCAAGAUCUUCGGAUCUUUCGUACUUAGGAUGCUGGUGGAAUGGCUUUAAACGACCCGUCUUGAAACACGGACCAAGGAGUCUAACAUGUUUGCGAGUGUUUGGGUGUUAAACCCGGACGCGUAAUGAAAGUGAAUGGAGGUGGGAUCCGCAAGGUGCACCAUCGACCGAUCUGGAUUUUCUAAGAUGGAUUUGAGUAAGAGCAAUUAUGUUGGGACC